rnacentral:rRNA from 1 species
AGGCUCACCAAGGCGACGAUCAGUAGCUGGUCUGAGAGGACGACCAGCCACACUGGAACUGAGACACGGUCCAGACUCCUACGGGAGGCAGCAGUGGGGAAUUUUGGACAAUGGGCGCAAGCCUGAUCCAGCAAUGCCGCGUGAGUGAAGAAGGCCUUCGGGUUGUAAAGCUCUUUUGUCAGGGAAGAAACGGCUGUGGCUAAUAUCCACGGCUAAUGACGGUACCUGAAGAAUAAGCACCGGCUAACUACGUGCCAGCAGCCGCGGUAAUACGUAGGGUGCAAGCGUUAAUCGGAAUUACUGGGCGUAAAGCGUGCGCAGGCGGUUUUGUAAGUCUGUCGUGAAAUCCCCGGGCUCAACCUGGGAAUUGCGAUGGAGACUGCAAGGCUAGAAUCUGGCAGAGGGGGGUAGAAUUCCACGUGUAGCAGUGAAAUGCGUAGAGAUGUGGANGGAANCACCGAUGGNCGAAGGCAGCCCCCUGGGUCAAGAUUGACGCUCAUGCACGAAAGCGUGGGGAGCAAACAGGACUAGAUACCCUGGUAGUCCACGCCCUAAACGAUGUCUACUAGUUGUCGGGUUUUAAUUAACUUGGUAACGCAGCUAACGCGUGAAGUAGACCGNCCUGGGGAGUACGGUCGCAAGAUUAAAACUCAAAGGAAUUGACGGGGACCCGCACAAGCGGUGGAUGAUGUGGAUUAAUUCGAUGCAACGCGAAAAACCUUACCUACCCUUGACAUGUCAGGAAGACCGGAGAGAUCUGGUUGUGCCCGAAAGGGAACCUGAACACAGGUGCUGCAUGGCUGUCGUCAGCUCGUGUCGUGAGAUGUUGGGUUAAGUCCCGCAACGAGCGCAACCCUUGUCAUUAGUUGCUACGCAAGAGCACUCUAAUGAGACUGCCGGUGACAAACCGGAGGAAGGUGGGGAUGACGUCAAGUCCUCAUGGCCCUUAUGGGUAGGGCUUCACACGUCAUACAAUGGUACAUACAGAGGGCCGCCAACCCGCGAGGGGGAGCUAAUCCCAGAAAGUGUAUCGUAGUCCGGAUCGUAGUCUGCAACUCGACUACGUGAAGUUGGAAUCGCUAGUAAUCGCGGAUCAGCAUGCCGCGGUGAAUA